GUGCCAGCAGCCGCGGUAAGACGAAGGAUGCAAGCGUUAUCCGGAUUCAUUGGGUUUAAAGGGAGCGUAGGUGGCCUUAUAAGUCAGUGGUGAAAUCUCUGGGCUUAACCCAGAAAUUGCCAUUGAUACUGUAGGGCUUGAGUAUAGAUGCCGUUGGCGGAAUAUGACAUGUAGUGGUGAAAUACAUAGAGAUGUCAUAGAACACCGAUUGCGAAGGCAGCUAACGAAACUAUAACUGACACUGAGGCUCGAAAGUGUGGGGAUCAAACAGGAUUAGAUACCCGUGUAGUCC
rnacentral:rRNA from 1 species